GACGAACGCUGGCGGCGUGCCUAAUACAUGCAAGUCGAACGAGAGCAACCGGUGCUUGCACUGGUCAAUCUAGUGGCGAACGGGUGAGUAACACGUGGGUAACCUGCCUAUCAGAGGGGGAUAACAUCCGGAAACGGAUGCUAAAACCGCAUAGGUCUUCGAACCGCAUGGUUUGAAGGGGAAAAGAGGCGCUAGCUUCUGCUGUUGGAUGGACCCGCGUUGCAUUAGCUAGUUGGUGAGGUAACGGCUCACCAAGGCCGUGAUGCAUAGCCGACCUGAGAGGGUGAUCGGCCACAUUGGGACUGAGACACGGCCCAAACUCCUACGGGAGGCAGCAGUAGGGAAUCUUCCGCAAUGGGCGCAAGUCUGACGGAGCAACGCCGCGUGAGUGAAGAAGGUUUUCGGAUCGUAAAACUCUGUUGUUAGAGAAGAACAAGUGUGAGAGUAACUGUUAGCGCCUUGACGGUAUCUAAUCAGAAAGCCACGGCUAACUACGUG
rnacentral:rRNA from 1 species